CUUAACGGAGUUUUUUAAAGUAUGUUUUUGUACCGAAAGGUUAUGAUCUUAGUUUAAAUUAUUUAGAAGUGUUGUUUUGUCGGGGUAAGGUCUUGUAAACUAAAUUUCUUUGAUGAUAAAUGGGUCGUAAAGCUUAAUAACUGUAAGGUUGUUUAGAAUUUUGUGGGAUGUAGGCGGCUAUUAGGUCAUUUAUAUUUUUUUACAUUUGGUGAUGGGGGGUUUUUGAUAAGGUUAGAGGUACCUAGUUUUUGGUAUAUUGUUGUAAAUAUGGUUUUGUUGGUUUAUUGGUAUGUUAAAGGUUUGAACAACUCAUUUGCAAUAUUUGGUUAUUAUUUUAUCGUUGAAUAAGUAAUUUUAUUAGGCUAUUUAUUUCUUGAGUUCUUUCCGUCUGUUUAUUAAAAACAUUUCUAAUUUUAAUUGUAGUUAGUAGUGCCUGCCCAAUGUUGGUUAAUUAAUGGCCGCAGUAUAUUGACUGUGCAAAGGUAGCAUAAUUAAUUGCCUUUUAAUUGGAGGCUUGUUUGAAUGGUUUGACGUGAUUGGUAUGAAUAUUUGGUAUUUAGUUGAAAUUGAUUUUGAGGGUUUAGAAUCCUUAAUGUUUAAUAAGACGGAAAGACCCUAGGAUCUUUUGUUUUUGUUUGGGGCAAAUAUUGUUGUUUUAUGAAUAUUGUGACCCU
rnacentral:rRNA from 1 species